UGCUGAAGAAGUAACAGAUCUAGUCCUCUUCUAUUUCGUAAGGCUACCUCAGCUAAACUGUCUAGGGAGGCCUCCGGGCUCAACAUAGAUGACUCUAGGUGUUGGAUGUCUUCGUCAAUGGACUUAUGUAGAUGCUGACUGAUAUCCAGCCUGUUGGGUGACGGGUCAGCAUGCCUAAUCCUGUCAACCAUGCCCCAAGGAGGAUGGACAAGACAAAGAUACCAUUGACCUGGAUGAACCGCCAGCGCUCCAGCGGGCGGAUGAUGAUGAAAGUCCAGCGUGCAUUGGAAGGGUUUGAACGUCAAUGCACGGCUUGAGGCUGCGGUGUUGAUGUCGCCAGAACCAAGACCCAAUCUCCAGGCUGGAAGGUAUGCAGCUUAGUGACCUGAACAAAGAUAACCU